GACGAACGCUGGCGGCGUGCUUAACACAUGCAAGUCGUACGGUAAGGCCCUUUCGGGGGUACACGAGUGGCGAACGGGUGAGUAACACGUGAGUAACCUGCCCACAACUUUGGGAUAACGCUAGGAAACUGGUGCUAAUACUGGAUAUGUGCUCCUGCUGCAUGGUGGGGGUUGGAAAGCUCCGGCGGUUGUGGAUGGACUCGCGGCCUAUCAGCUUGUUGGUGGGGUAGUGGCCUACCAAGGCGGCGACGGGUAGCCGGCCUGAGAGGGUGACCGGCCACAUUGGGACUGAGGUACGGCCCAGACUCCGAAGGGGGGCAGCAGUGGGGAAUAUUGCACAAUGGGCGCAAGCCUGAUGCAGCAACGCCGCGUGCGGGAAGACGGCCUUCGGGUUGGAAACCGCUUUCAGCAGGGACGAAGCUUUUUGUGACGGUACCUGCAGAAGAAGCACCGGCUAACUACGUG
rnacentral:rRNA from 1 species